rnacentral:piRNA from 1 species
UGCUUUUGGUGAUGGUGUUUGAUCACAAU